rnacentral:rRNA from 1 species
AUGCUUUUGCUUUCUGUAUGGAGUUUGGAGCGUCUGUCUGUUGGAUACCCGAAGAGCGUCACAUUUAAUCCUUGGGAUGAAGAUGGCGAAUUACGACACCCCACUUGGGCUUACAAGUGGGAUGUGGUAUCUGAGAUGAUGAACAAUGUCAGUCUCAUGUACCAGAAGUACAUUGCCGAGGUGGACACAAUUACAACUGAGCAGGUAACAAGGUCAUUACUUCAGUCAUUUCUCAUGCUUGCCUGA